GGUCGGGUGGCGCAAUUGGUAGCGCGUAGCUCUCCUACGAGUAAAGCUGAGGCUAUGGGUUCGAGUCCCAUCUCGAUCG